GACGAACGCUGGCGGCGUGCUUAACACAUGCCAGUCGAACGGAAAGGCACUGCUUUUGUGGGGUGCUCGAGUGGAGAACGGGUGCGUAACACGUGAGUAACCUGCUCUUGACUUUGGGAUAACUUCAGGAAACUGGGGCUAAUACCGGAUAGGAGCCCCUGCUGCAUGGUGGGGGUUGGAAAGUUUCGGCGGUUGGGGAUGGACUGGCGGCUUAUCAGCUUGUUGGUGGGGUAGUGGCUUACCAAGGCUUUGACGGGUAGCCGGCCUGGGAGGGUGACCGGGGACAUGGGGACUGAGAGACGGCCCAGACGCCUACGGUAGGCAGCAGGGGGAAAUAUUGCACAAUGGGCGGAAGUCUGAUGCAGCAGCGCCGCGGGCGUGAUGACGGCCUGCGGGUUGAAAACCGCUUUCGCCUGUGACGAAGCGGGAGUGACGGUAAUGGGUAAAGAAGCACCGGCUAACUACGUG
rnacentral:rRNA from 1 species